rnacentral:lncRNA from 1 species
CAAACAUCUCUUUGCUCUUAUGGGGACUGUGUUCUCUCACAACAGCUUUUUGAAUUAUCGCUUCCUGUUGAAACAAGAGUUUAAUCUUUCAAUGAAGUAUAUAGCAAUGGAAUUGAAGCUGGUGGUUCUGGGGCAGAAGUGAAGGCUGGUGCCACCUGUGUGCCCUGGAGAAUCAGUAAGAUCAAGAGUGCAGCCUCUGGAGCCAGAUUGCCUGCAUUUCAGAUUGGUUCUGUCACCUAGGUGUGUAAGUUAUAAAACCUUUCUAUGCUUUCUAUGUGAAAAUGGAAUAAGAUGGUCUUAUAAGAAUAAAUAAGUUAACACAAAUGAUACUCUGAAAACAAUGCCUGAACAUGGCAGGCAUUGGGGGAGUUACUAAUAAUAUAAUGAUUUAAGAAGAGAAAUAUUCAUUUGCUAAAUUCAGAAUUUAUCUGAGUAGUUUGUUUCUUCAUUGUAAUGAAGACCAGUGGUUUCAAGAAUCCUGGAAUGUUAGAAUUGAAAGGAACUUUGACUUCUACUGCCACUUACGCCUUUUAGAUUUGGGAGGUCCACAGCACAUUGUAGGAUCACAGAGCAGGAGGAUAGUCAGAGGCUACUGUGGGACUUUAGGCUAGUGGAGAUAGAGAUAUGGAGGAGGAGUUUGGCUCUAUAUCUCUAAAGCAGCUACACCAUUUUACAUUGCUACCAGCAACAAACAAGGGUUCCCCCUUCUCCAAAGGUACAUUAUCUGCCAUUUUAAAUUAGAGCCAUCCCAGUGGGUAUGAAGCGGCAUCUCCUUGUGGUUUUGACAUGUGUUUGUCUGAUGGCUAAUGAUGUUGAGCAUCUUUCCAUGUGCUCACAAGUCAUUCCAUGUUUUCUUGGAGAAAUGUCAGUUCAGAUCCCUUAUCCAUUUUAAAAUUGGGUUUGUUGUGUUUUAUUAUUGGAGUUAUUUACCUGUUUAUUAUUACAACUGAAUUACAUAUUCAUACCCAGAACAUUCAGUUGUGUACAUGAGUCCUUUACCACACAUAAAGAUUUGAAAAUAUUUUAUCUCAUUAUUUGGUUUUUCUUUUUUCUUUCUUGAUGGUAUCUUUGGAAGGACACAUAUUUUUAAAAUGUUACGAAGUUAAAUUUGUGUAUUUUUUUUCACUUGUGAUUUUUAUUGUCAUUUCUAAGAUACCACUAAGAAACUAAGGUCACAAAGGUUUACUUCUACAUUUUUCCUAAGUGCAACAUACUUUUACUUCUCAGAUGUCAGUCUGUAAUUAAUUUUGAGUAAGAUUUUUUUUGUAUGAUAUGAGAAAGGGGUUCAGUUUCACUUUUUAAACUUUACUUUUCAGAACAGUUUUAGAUUAAUAGAAAACUCAGAGAAUAGUACAAAAAGCUUCAUAUGCCCUAACAUCCAGUUUCUCCUAUUCAAAUGAUAUAUUUCUGGUAAUCAAUAAAUCCACAUUUAUACAUUAAUAUGAAGCAAAGUUCAGAAUUUAUCCAGAUUUCCUUACAUUUUGUGUAGACCCCCUCUUUCCCCUGUUGGAGGAUCCUGUCAAGGAUACCAACAUUACAUUAAGUCAUCCUGUCUCCUUCAGCUCCUCCUGGCUAUGACAGUUUCCCAGACAUCUCUUGCUUUUGAUGACUUUGACAUCUUUGAGAAUUGGUCAGAUAUGUUCUAAAUUUAAAAGUAAUAUGCACCCUGGAAUUUAACUGAUGUUCUCUUCAUGAUUAGGCUGUGACCAGAAUGGAGUUGUAUAUUUUUUAAAGGAAAAACCAUAGAUGAGAAGUGACCUUUUCAUCACCUUAUACCAUAGUAUCAAUUUGACUUAGUAUGGUUGAUGUUGACCUUGAUCACCUAGAUGAGAUAAUAUUUGUUGGUUUUCUCUAUGGUAGAGUUAUUCUUUGUUUCUUCCCCUUUCCACGUUGUGUCUUCAGGAGAAAGUGUUCAUAUGCCUGAGGGAGUGUGGCAGAACCUCUUUGAAGGAUGAAGUAUCUGUGUAAUUUAUCUAGAAAUUUCUGCAUGGGAGAUAUAUCUCUUCUUCCUUAUUUAUUUAUUUGAUCAAUUACUUAUUUAAGUAAGUGUGGAUUCAUGGAAAAUUGUCCUAUACUUUGAAUUAUAAUCCAAUAUUACUUUCUUUUGUGGUUUUGGUUUGUUCCAACUUUGGACACUGGGAAAUUUACUGAGUUGUAUCCUAUGUGCCUCAGACACACCCUCUCACUCUGUGUGUGUAUGUGGUUUGUGUGUGUGUGUGUGUAUGUGUGUGCAUGCACAUGUGUGUGUUUAGUUCUUACCCCAGUCCCAGAAUCAGUCAUUUCUCCAAGGAAUCCUGGGUUCCUAAUAUUGUAGAAUGGUAUCAGAAACCCUCGAACACAUACAAAUACUUUUAUAUGCAAUAUCUGCAUCUAUAAGCUAAACAUGAGUUGUGCUGUCUUCAGCCCUAUCCAUUACCACAUAGAUCAUUCUAUUUUCUUCCCCUUGCUUGUUGUAAAUCCCUGCCCCCCUGCAAUGGAAAACCUGGCUCCCACUGUCCUUCAUCCAUUUAAUCAAUUGUGCAACUCUAAUAUGCAGCAAUACCAAGACAGUUAACUUGUAUUUGCAUUGAAAAAAUUAUCAACUAGAAUAUAGAGCUUAUGCACAAUUUCUUUAGCUUUUAGUUUUACAGACUCCACUCAUAUCUAAAGUACUGAGGUCAGCACCAUUUCCUCUUUCCCUUCAAUGAGGUUGUUUGAUACAUUUUUAAAUGUAACAUUGUUCAUUCUGUUCUGGGAUUCCCCUGAUCUCCUAAGUGAUUUUUAAAUAUUUGCAUAAAUGAAGAUUUGCUCUUUGUGCUAUAAAAUUCAAUAGGUUUUGGUAAAUACAUAGUAUCAUAUAUACACAAUUAAACUAUCAUGCAAAAUAGUUUCACUUAUUCAAAACUUCCUCUUCUCUCUCAAAAUUCCUGGCAAUGUUUGAUCUUUUAAACGUCUCUAUUGUGCAUUUUCUAGAAUGUCAUGCAAUUAAAAUCAUAUAAUUCCAUAUAUAUGAUAACAUUUUGGAUUGACUUAUUUCAUUUAGCAAUAUACAUUUAAGAUCCAUAUAUUCCUUGUGUGGCUUACUAGCUCUGUUUGAGUAAUGUUGCACUGUGUGGAUAUAUCACAGUUUGUUUAUAUAUUCAUCUAUUGCCAGAUAUCUUACUUUCUUUUACUUAUUGGAAAUUUUAAAUAUACUUGCUGGAAAUUCCUAACAAGAUAUCCUUUAGCCGUCCUGACUUGUCAUACUCCUACACAGUGAAGCAGCACACGGGGGCAAUGCACUCCCCUCGCCGCCAUCUUCCUUUGAGAUUUUUUAAAUCAUUAAAUAUACUUGCUAAAAAUAUUUGCAUGAAGGUUUUUUACGGACACAUUUUCAAGACAUUUUAUUAAUACAUAGGAAUACCAUUGCUAGCUUUUGUGUCUAGUUUUUAAAGUUUUCCAAAGUGGCCUUACAAUUUUAUAUUCCUACCAGCAAUGAAUGUGAGUUUCUUUUGCUUUGCAUCAUUGCUAGUAAUUGGUAUUGUCAGUGAUUUGGAGAUUCUAAUAGGUGUGUAGUAGUUCAUUAAUAUUAUAAUUUGCAAUUCUUUAAGUAUAAUGUUGAGCACUUUUUCAUAUCCUAAUUUGUCAUAUGUUUAUGUCUGUCUAUAUCUAUCUACCUACUUUGGUGAAGUGUCUGUUUAGAUAUUUUGCCCAAUCCUAUUGAUUUUAUUAGUGCUUUAUAGUUAUACAUAAUGGUUAGAUUCAUUUUGACAUAAUCAUACAUGCAAAUUUAUUCCAUUUCAGUCCCUGGUGCCCACCUAUUCCCUUCCCUCCUCUCUCCCCUUAUUCUCCUUCAUCUAUUCUACUGGUCUUCUUUUCAUUCAUUUUUAAAUUUACUUUUUAAUUGGUUCUUUGUAGAUAUACAUAAAGGUGGAACUCACUGUGGUAUAUCUGUAUUCACACAUAGAGUAAUUUUGUCAAAUUCAUUCAGUAUUUUCUUCCCUUUCCUAUCCUUCUUUCCUCCCUCUCAAUCUCUUUUUAAUCUACUGAUCUUCCCUUUCUCUUUAUGACAUUUGAUCUCCCCCUUUUUUCCCUUUGCUUUAAAUUCAACAUAAGAGAGAGAACAUUUGACUCUUGAUUUUCUGCAUCUGGCUUAUUUACUUAGCCUGAUGUUCUCAAUUCCAUCCAUUUACCUGCAAAUGCCAUAUAUUCAUUCUUCUUUAUGGCUGAGUAAAAUUCCAUGGUGCGUAUAUACUACAUUUUCCUAACCCAUUCAUCUGUUGAUAGGAGCCUGAACUGAUUCCAUAACUUGGCUAUUGUGAGUUGCACUGCUAUAAAUAUUGAUGAGUCUGCAUAACUGGAGUAUGCUGAUUUCAGUCCUUUUGGAUAAAUGUCAAGGAGUGGGAUAGCUGGGUCAUAUGAUGGUUCUAUUCCUAGUUUUUAUGAAGAAUCUCCAAAUUGAUUUCUAGAAUGAUUGUACUAAUUUGCAGUUCCACCAACAAUGUAUGAGUGUACCUCGCUCCCCCAUCAUUGUCAGCAUUAUUAUUAUUUGUAUUCUUGAUAAUGGCCUUUCUGACUGGAGUGAGAUUAAAUCUCACUUUGACUUGAUUUUCCCUGAUUACUAAGGAUAUUAAAUUUUUUUCAUAUAUUUCUUGGCCAUUGGUGUUUCUUCUUUUGAAAAAAUGUCUGUUUCGUUCUCUUGCCCAUUUAUUGAUUAUGUUAUUUAUUUGUUUGUUUUAGUGUUAAGCUUUUUGAGUGCUUCAUAUAUUCUGGAUAUUAAUCCCCAGUCAGAGGACUAACUGGAAAAGAUUUUUUGCCCUUCUGUAGGCUUUCUCUUCUCACUCAAUGAUUUCCUUUUCUGUGCAGAAUCUGUUUAGUUUGGUUCUGUACCACUUAUUAAUUCUUGGUUUAUUUCUUGAGAUUUAGAGGUCCUGUUAAGGAAGUCAGUGUCUGCACCAGAAUGUUGACUCUAUGUUUUCUUCUUCUAGCCAUUGCAAAAUUUCUCGUUGAAUUCCUAAGUCUUUGAUCCAUUUGUGUUUGACUUCUGUGCAGGGUGAAAGAGAUAUCUGGUUUUAUUCUUUUCUAUACAUUGAUAUCCAGUUUUCUCAUUUGUUUAAAAGGCUAUCUUUUCUCCAACAUAUAUUUUUGCCCAGUUUUUAAAUGUUUUUGUUGUUGUUAAAAAACCCUUUUUUCCUGUGGUAGGGAUUCAACCAGGGCCUUGAAUAUAUGAGAGAAGUGCUCUACCACUGAGUUAUAGCCCCUAUCCCAGCUUUUAAAUUUUAAGAGUUCUUUGUAUAUUUUAGAUACAUGCUUUUACUAUAUUUGUGUUUUUCAAAUGUUUUCUCCCAUUCUGUGGGUUUUUUCAUUAUCUUAACAGUAUCAUUUGCAGAAUAAAUUAAAAUUAAUUAUUUUAAUUUUAAUUAUGUCCAGUUAAUUAUUUUCUCCUACAUUUUUUGAAAGUUUUGUCUUGUAUUUGCAUUUAUGCCUAUGAUCCUUCUUGAGUUAAUUGUUUUAAAUAUUUAAGGUCUCUGUCUACUUUUGUGUUUCAUAUAUAGCCUUCCAGUUGUUCCAGAACAUUCAGUGACAUAACACUCCUUUUUCCAUUGAAUUGCUUUUACUCCUUUUCAAAGAUCAGCUGGUUACUAUUGUGUAUUUAUUUUUGGGCUUUCUGUUCAUUCUAUUGGUGUGUUCAUCUAUUAACUCUCUCCUUUACGGUCCCAUGUUUGUGACAGUGUGCUAAUUGCUUUGUUGUGUCAUGGUCAGUCUUUCCGUGAGCUGGUUUUGGUUCCUUUACUUUUUUCUUUUUCAGUAUUGUGUUUGGUAUUUUAGGUUUCUUUCCUUUGUGUAUGAACUUUGGAAUUCGUUCACUGCUAUUUGUAUAAUAGUUUUCUAUGAUUUUUUUAUUGGGAUUAUGUUGGAUCUAUAGAUCAAGGUGUGAAGAAGUGAUUUCUUAGUUGUAUUUCGGUGGUUUUUUGGGUAGCCUUUAAGGAACUUCGAUUUUCAGUUGUUCUUUUCGGGCAUUUUGGACAACUAUUUGCUUUUGUGUAUUCAUUGUUUCUUGUUUACCUGGAGCAGAAGUCACUGGAGCCAUAACUUGGUAUGAUCAUUUAUCAAUUCUAGGAGUUUUUUUUUAUUGUUGUCUAUUGUUNUGUACUAAUUUGCAGUUCCACCAACAAUGUAUGAGUGUACCUCGCUCCCCCAUCAUUGUCAGCAUUAUUAUUAUUUGUAUUCUUGAUAAUGGCCUUUCUGACUGGAGUGAGAUUAAAUCUCACUUUGACUUGAUUUUCCCUGAUUACUAAGGAUAUUAAAUUUUUUUCAUAUAUUUCUUGGCCAUUGGUGUUUCUUCUUUUGAAAAAAUGUCUGUUUCGUUCUCUUGCCCAUUUAUUGAUUAUGUUAUUUAUUUGUUUGUUUUAGUGUUAAGCUUUUUGAGUGCUUCAUAUAUUCUGGAUAUUAAUCCCCAGUCAGAGGACUAACUGGAAAAGAUUUUUUGCCCUUCUGUAGGCUUUCUCUUCUCACUCAAUGAUUUCCUUUUCUGUGCAGAAUCUGUUUAGUUUGGUUCUGUACCACUUAUUAAUUCUUGGUUUAUUUCUUGAGAUUUAGAGGUCCUGUUAAGGAAGUCAGUGUCUGCACCAGAAUGUUGACUAUGUUUUCUUCUUCUAGCCAUUGCGAAAUUUCUCGUUGAAUUCCUAAGUAUUUGAUCCAUUUGUGUUUGACUUCUGUGCAGGGUGAAAGAGAUAUCUGGUUUUAUUCUUUUCUAUACAUUGAUAUCCAGUUUUCUCAUUUGUUUAAAAGGCUAUCUUUUCUCCAACAUAUAUUUUUGCCCAGUUUUUAAAUGUUUUUGUUGUUAUUAAAAAACCCUUUUUUCCUGUGGUAGGGAUUCAACCAGGGCCUUGAAUAUAUGAGAGAAGUGCUCUACCACUGAGUUAUAGCCCCUAUCCCAGCUUUUAAAUUUUAAGAGUUCUUUGUAUAUUUUAGAUACAUGCUUUUACUAUAUUUGUGUUUUUCAAAUGUUUUCUCCCAUUCUGUGGGUUUUUUCAUUAUCUUAACAGUAUCAUUUGCAGAAUAAAUUAAAAUUAAUUAUUUUAAUUUUAAUUAUGUCCAGUUAAUUAUUUUCUCCUACAUUUUUUGAAAGUUUUGUCUUGUAUUUGCAUUUAUGCCUAUGAUCCUUCUUGAGUUAAUUGUUUUAAAUAUUUAAGGUCUCUGUCUACUUUUGUGUUUCAUAUAUAGCCUUCCAGUUGUUCCAGAACAUUCAGUGACAUAACACUCCUUUUUCCAUUGAAUUGCUUUUACUCCUUUUCAAAGAUCAGCUGGCUACUAUUGUAGAUUUAUUUCUGGGCUCUCUAUUCAUUCUAUUGAUCUAUGCAUCUAUUCUCUAUCCAGUACCACACCAUCUAUGAAACAGUGCCAUAAUUACUAUGUAAUGUCAUAGUAAGUCUUGAAGUGAGCUAAUUUUGAUUCCUCAACUUUAUUCUUUUUCAGUAUUGUGUUGGGUAUUGUAGGUCUCUUUCCUUUCCAUAUGAACUUUAGAAUUAGUUCACUGAUAUCCAUAAAAUAGUUUUCUAUGAUUUUUUUAUUGGGAUUAUGUUGGAUCUAUAUAUCAAGGUGUGAAGAACUGAUUUCUUAGUCAUAUUGAGGUGGUUUUAUAAAUAGCAUUUAAAAAACUUCAAAUUUCAGUUGUUCUUUGCGGGCAUAUAGAAAAACAAUUGACUUUUGUGUAUUAAUCAUUUAUCCUUUAAACUUGGUAUAAUCAUUUAUCAAUUCCAGGAGAUUUUUUUAUUGUUGUCUAUCAUUAGAGGUAUGCUACAAAGAUAGCAAUGUCAUCUGUGCAAGAAGAUAGUUUUUUAUUCUCCCUAAUUUUCUUGUCUAAUCAUAUGGCUAUGACUUCCAAUAUAAUGUUAAAUAAGAAUAGUGAGACAGGAAUAUCUUUGCUCAUAAUUUUAUGGGGAAAACACUUAGUUUUUCAGUAUGAAGCUAGUUGCAGGGUUAUUUGUUUUGUUUUUCAGAUGUUGAGAUGUUUCCUAAACUUGAUAACUAUUCUUAGUUUGUUGAGUGUUCCAGUUAAAAAAAUUAUAUUUGAUUUUGUCAAAUGCUUUGUGUUAAUUGAUAUUAUCCCAAUUUUUCUUCUUUAGCUAUUUGAUGUGGCAGGUUAUACUGAUUGAUGUGGUGAGUUAUAUUGAUUUGAAUGUUGAAUUAGGGUUGUAUAUCUGAAAUAAUCCCACUUGGUCAUGUUUUAUGUAUUGUUUGAUUUUAUUUGCUAAUAUUUUUAAGAGUAUUUUUGCAUUUAUGCUCAUGAGAGAUAUAUUGGUUGGUACUUUUCCUUCUAGAAUGUGUUUAUAUUAGAACCUUAUUGGUGUAGUGGUAAAGUACUGAAGAGGGGGAGCAUUCUACAAUCUUGUGGCUAGAUUCCAGUGUUUUGGUGCACCUGGUUCCCUGGCAUUUGAUUUUCAUGAAUGUUUCUUAGCUCUCUUACCCCCAGCACUUAGGUUAGACUGGAAGGGCAGAGGGGACUGGUGAUAGGACAAUGCAUUUUCCCCUGAUAAAGCCUUUGCCCUAAACACUGAGUCUUGUUUAUGGAACUUGCUCAAGGGUUAUUUCAAAACAGGAACUGUUCUGUAUACCUACGACCAUGAAAUUUUCCUUGGCUCUUUACUAUGAAACUGUGGCAGGGAUCCUGGAGGUAAAGCUCAUGAACAUGCAGACAUCCUCCAUUUUGCUGAGGCUCCAAGGAGUUUCUCACUCUCAUAAUAGACCCCACGCAGUCUCCAGCAAUUUGCCAAAAUUGCUAUUUAAAUGUUCCUAUCAAUUUAUGGCUCCAGUGACUUCUGCUCCAGGUAAGCAAGUCUCACUGACUCUCUAGAUGCAAAUAUUUGUCCAGAUUGGGUUAGCUGUUUACCUUACAAUCUCGGUUCCUUCAAGUGUUCCCUAACAGUCAUUGAUUUUCAGUUUCUUCAUCACUUUUUAAAUUGUUAUACAAUUGGGAGUGAUGACUUCCAAGUUUUUUACACGUAGGGCUGAAACCUAAAGUUCCAACUUUAUUCUUGGCAUUUGGAUAUGUAAUUGUGCCAGCACCAUUUGUUGGAGAGACUGUUCUUUCUCCAUUGAAUCUUUUGGCACUUUGUCACAAACAUUUGACCGUAAAUGUGAGGGUUUAUUUUUGAACUCUCUAGUCUAUUGAUCUGUAUGUCUUACUCUUACUACACAGUCUUGAUUAGAAUGGCUUUGUAGUACAUUUUUUAAAAAAUGGGAGUUCUCCAUUUCCAUUAUUCUUUUCCAAAAUUGGCGGCUCUGGUUCCCUUGCAUUUCCAUAUGAAUUUUAAGGUCGUUUGUCAAUUUCUGUAAAGAAACCAGAUGGGAUUUUUGAAAUGGAGUUCAUCAAAUCUGUAGAUCAAUUUAGGGAGUCUCAAUAUUUUAACAGGAUAAGUCUUCUGACUCUUUUCAUUCAUUUAGGUCUUCUUUAAUUUCUUUUAGUGGAUUUUACAGUUUUCCUUAUACAAAUAUUAUACUUUUUUGUUAAAUUUAUUCUUAAAUAUUUUGUCAUUUUAAUGCUAUUAUAAAUAAAAUUGUUUUCUUAGUUUCAUUUUUUGAAUUGUUCAUUACUAGAAAAUCAAUAAAAUUGAUUUUCUAUGUGGAUCUUAUGACAUCAAUAUUGCAGAUUUUAUAUUCUAUUUAUCUUUUUUUCAUAUUUCUUAUAAUUUUGAGGAGCUUCUUUUAGGGCAUUGUUAAAGCUUCUCUAUGAUUCAGGGAAAUUGGAUUUAAAUAUUUUCACAAGAUUUAACAAUUAGAUCCAGUGUUAUACUAAGAAAGUGUAGCAAUGAUAAAGUAAACAGUAGCUAGAAUGAGUCUUAGGAUUGAGAAUGGAUUUUUUAAAAUUCUUGGCCUAAUAUGAAGGUUUAAUGAGCUGCAGAGAAGAAGCCAGAGGAAAGAUAGAGCUUGAUCUUAAAGAAAUGAUGGAGAUGGCUGAGCUAAAGGUGUUCGAGAAGCCAAGAGGGAGUGGGUUUAAGACGUCUUAAGAUUCAGCUUGGCUUUGAUUUGGGAAAGGUGUCAAAGAUGUAAAUAAAAAUGAUCAUGUGGAAUAGAAUACACAUGAAAACUAUUGACAGAAAUUCAGCAGCCAAUGAAAAGCAUUUUUGAUGCUUUCGGCCUCUCCAUGAGAGAGGUACCAGUGAUCUGAUGGGAAGUGUUUUCAGGAGAGUGUUGAAAUUUGCCUUAAUUAUUUGGAAAACAGUUUGGACUUCAGAGAGUGAAAUCAGUCUUUUUUAGUAGAAAAUCUUUAAUAAAGACUCCCUGAAGUCUUUUUUAUGCAAAGAAAUUUAUUUAAAGGAACAGAAAAUUCUCUAAAGUCUUUUUAUAGAAAAAUUAUGUUAUUAUUAUGGCAAGUGAAAUCAGAUCAGAAUAAAGGCAGAUGUGUAAAAGAUCCCCAGUGUGUUUCUACCUUCUGGAUGGUUUGCCAAUAAAGCUUAAGAGAAGUUUUAAUUAAGCAUUAUGUAAACUGUCCUGUGUCCAAAGCCCAUUUGAUUUUGUGUCCCAUCACCCUCACUGCCUUCCUGAGCUCUUUAUUGUCACUGAAAUGGAUCAGUAAGAAAUGCCUUUGCAAACCUCUGAUGGGGAUAGGAAAGCUGCUGUAUGCUUCAUAGGAUGAUCCUGUCCCUGCCUCAGGGCUUAAAAAGAAAACUGUAGAAUACAUUCUCCAACAUCAAAAUGAAAUCUCAGCUUUCACAUGAAAUUCUGGAAUAAGAUUCCGUGGCAUCUGUUCCAACAGAAACUGAGGCCUGGGCAAGUAUUUUUCAUUUUGAGAAAUGUGCUUUUGUUCACAGAGGAGUUAUGGAUUGAUGUUUAUAUUCCUCACUCCAAAUUCAUAUGUUGAAGCCCUAGCACCUACCUAGUGUGAUGAUGUUUGGAGAUGAGGCCUUUGGGACAUAGCUGGGUUACAUGGGGACAUGGAGGUGAGGCCCCUGUAAGAAGAGACACCACAGAUCUUACUUUCUACUUCUCCCCUAGCACCCAUUCACACAGACAAGUCACGUGAGCACUCACAAGAUGGCAUCUACCUACAAGCCAAGGGGACAGGCCUCAGAAUGAAACCAGUCUUGUUGCCACCUUGAUCUUGGACUUCCAUGUCUCCAUAACUAUGAGGAAAAAGACCCUGUUUUUUAGUCAUACAAUUUAUGGUAUUUUUAUCCUGGCAUUUUGAGCCAAAUCACAAGGUAGUAUUUCCUAAGUGUUAUCUAUGCAUUUAGCACUGUUUCUCAUUUAAGCAUUGAAACAAAAUGAGUGUUAGUUAUUUCCAGUCUGCCAAUGAGGGAAAUAAAGCUCAACAUCACACAGCUAUCAAGUGAUGGCAGUUAUUAUCAAUUGCCCUCUACUCUAAAGAAGCUGUAGCAAUUGAUUCUGUCACUAGCAAUCCAUGCACUUUCCAACCUUGAUCAUUAACUCUCAAGUAUUUUUUUAUGAUCCUUGAUAUUCUGUCUCAUGAAAAUGUCUUGCUCUCAUAGCUUCCUUUUCUAAGCUAAUAGUCAAAGAUAGUGAAGUCUUCUAAACUUGUUACAAAAUAUUGGCUUUAAUGCUGCUAUACAAGUAUAUGUAUAUCUAUAUUAUAUAUCAUAUUUAUUGAACUAACUCUCAUGUCCCAUGAUGCACACUUAGGACAUUAAGUCCUUUGCAAUUAAGACAAUAUCAACAAAAACUAUAAAAAUGAUGCUUUCAGUAAGCAUUCAGUGUACAUAUUUUUGCAGCCAUAUGUAAGUCUACUGGUAGGAUAGAGUCCCAGAAGUAGAAUUGAUAUUUCUGAAGCUGUAUCGGUUUUAUAUCUUCUCUUACACAGUCUUCCUUGCUAAAAAUUUCUUCUAUGUUUUCUUCUAUUGCCUUUGUGAUUUCAGUUUUUUAUAUUUACUUCUUGGAUCAAUCUGGAAUUUAUUUUUGCAUGAAGAGUAGGGAAAGGUCUCACAUUAAUAUGUUUUGCUAACACUUACUGAAAAAUCCAUUUUCUAUAGUAAUUGGAAAUUAUGCUUUUAUUAUUUAAAAAAAUCCUCAUAUUAUUGAUCUCCCACUGUACUGUUUAUUCUAUUUCAUUGAUAUAUUUGAAUAUUGACAUAAUUAAUUUUUAACUGGAUAAUAUCUUCAUAGCUGUGUCCUAAAACACAAAGACUCUAGAAUCAGAAUGCUUGAUGUCAAAUCCUAUCUCCUCCAUUUACUUAGGGUGUGAUUUUGUGUAGCUACUAAAAUCUCUUUGUUCUUCAGAUUCUUCAUUUCUAAAAAAAGAUAAGUUGUCAAACUAGUAUUGACUAUUGGAUUUCUUCUCUAAAUCCAAAUCUUGAGAUGGACAGAAAAGAGAAAGGAGUUGAAGGAUCUUAGAGCCAUACUUAGAAAGUAACAAGAUACCUCAUGAGGAUUUUUGGGCAAACAUCAGAUAGUUACAGAUAGUUACUGGUGACUUAGAAACCAAAGUCACCAUGGAAACAUUUUGGAGAGAGAUUGAGGGAGGAAAAUUCUGAUUUUACUCUGUAUUAUUUCCCAUGUUAUUCUAGUGGGGACCUGAACUCGGACGUGAGAUUAAGGGAAUUGAAACUGAUAUGAGACUGAGUAAUGUCCCUAAUACUCCAUAAAUGUUGGGUGAUGUUUGCCUUCUGUGAGAAGAAUAAUCAGAGCUAUUAAUAAUUAGGGUAAUCAGAGCUGCACAAAAUAGAGGUCUCAAAACAUAAAACAAAAAUACAACUGAAGGGAUAUGCACUAAUGAGGAAGCCAGGAUCCCAGCACCCCUUUCCCUAUUGCUCUCCGACAAAGGGUAGUGGCAUCAGCCUGAGGCAGCCAGUUAACAUCUCAGUGCUGAAGGCUGUUGUCAUAGUCACCUUUCCAUUGCUGUGACAAAAUACCUGAGAUACAAAACUUCAGAGGAAGAAAUAUUUAUUUUGGCUCACAGUUUCAGAGGUUUCAGUUAGUCCAUGAUCACUUGGCUCCACUGCUUUGGGCCUGUGGAGAGAUAGAACGUCACGGUAGGAAAGGAUGUGGUAUAGCAAAGCUGCUCACCUCAUGGUGAUCAGGAAGCAAAGAAAGAAAGAAAGGAGUAGCCAGUGUUUCAAUAUCUUUUUCAAGGGCAUACCUCCAAUGACCUUUCUUCCUUCCUUCCUCUAGGCCUCCCCUCUUAAAGGUUACACCACCUCCCAGUAGCACCAUCUGCCAGGGUACAAGCCUAUAACACAGGAGCCUUGGGGAACAUUUAAGAUUCAAACCAUAACAGUUGUCUUGGAUGGAGCCUCAUCAAGGUAGGUGAAAUGGCAAGUUUAAGCAGUUGUCAAGUAGCCAAACCAGGGCUUGAACAUGUCCUCUUUGUUUAAAAAAUCUCAUCAAAUCAAAUCAAAACAAAAACUGUUCUUUAAAUAACUUCUAUUAGGUAGAAUUCUUCAGUAAUGACAAAAAUAACAACUUUCUUCUUAACAUGCAAUGGAAAACACUGUUGGGCUCAAUGAAUUUUUGAGUCAUAAUGACUAUAAUAAUAAUUAUAAUAAAAUUUCUACAAUAAAAUGUUUCCUCACAGUAUAGAAUGUUAAGAAAGAGGGAAAUGUUUAGUUGUUUGAUAUUUUUACUAUUUUGGAUAUAUGUGCUUUGCUGACAAGUUGAAAUUGAAACUUAAAGAUUACUUAGAGACUUUCUGAGGUAUGUGUUUGCAUGUGUGGUAUGUGUAUGUGCAUGUGGUGUGUGUAUGUAUGUGGUGUGUGUCUGUGUAUGUGUAGUGGGAAGAUGGUAGGCAACAUUUCUUUGAUAGAAAAUAUCCAGAAACACAGCUAGCAAAUUUUACCUAGUCUAUUAAGCAUUCUUAAGUCAAAACCUUUUUGUUUUAAAACAUGAAAAAUCAAGUUGGGCUUGUUUAACUGAAAAAGAAAUUUCUGGAAAAAUAUAGGGUAUUGUAUGGAUUCCAGGAAAAAUUUAGACAGUUAAUGUACAGAAACUUUGGAACCUCAAUAAUAAGAGUCCCCAGACUUUCUGUUUAGAGUUCUACCAUUAACACAGUCUGUAACAUAUCCCCAAUUUUUGUGUUGAGAGAGAGAAUAAGAUCAAACUAACCUACGUCAGGUAUCUGUACCUGAGCUGUGUUGAAGGGAAGAGUCAUGUGGUCUGAUCAUCUCUACCCUUGACCUUCUGCUUUCAGAUGCUCAUUGUGGUCACAGAUGCCAGAACUGCUAGAGAUGAUCUAUAUCAACUCCAUUUUUCAUAAUGAUGGAACACUGUGGGAAGUUAAGCAACACACUCAGGAGCGGAGGUGGUGAUAUGUAGUCUGAGUGAAGAGACUCCAAGCAAUAUUUCCACUUCUGUCCUCCACCCCUAUUUCCAGAUCUUGGCUCUUAAUACCUCUGAUCUGACACAUUAUGAGAGACUUCUCAUUCGUCAUGAUCUCAACCUGAUUGAUCCUAAAAUAUUCAUUAGAGGUCUCCUCAAAACAAUUAUGAUUAUAUUAUUCUUUUAUUUUAAUUUAAAAUCUUCACUGGUUACCUCUUGUCUAUUGAUCAUUACAAACACAAAUUUAUUCAUUCCCAUAAAAUGGGAAGUGUUAACAAGCAAUUGGAGAUUCUUGGGGUCUAAUUUCUCUUAGUAUAAAUUAAAAGAUUAAGAGGGGUACCUCAUGUUUCUAAGGUCACACCCAUGUUAAAGUUUUCAAGGCUUUAUGCCAUUGAGCUCCAAAAUAUCUUCCUAACCUCAUUUUUUUCUAUCUCCUUGAUAUAAACCCAUCUUUACCAUUUUAUGUGUUCAUACAUUUUUGCCAUUAGAAAUACAUUAUAAUAUCACUUCAGAAAAUAUAAAGUUCAAUAUUUAAAAGUUCAGGAGCAACAAAGCCUCUUUCCUCAAAUGAAUUUCUCAGUUCAGUUUUUCAUGUUCCAUAAAUUGUCAUUGAUUUGUUAAUUUGAUGAACACAUAUAUACACAAAUAUUAUACUAACAUAAAAUCUACAGACACCAAGGUUAUUCACCCAUAGAUACAGUCUUAGAAUAAAAUCCUCUGAGUAUGCACAAAUGAACAAGACAUAAGAAUAUAAUAGAAAAGUACUUAUGCUGGAGGAGUUUGAUUAUGUAUCCCCCUAGAGAUAAAAUUUCAUUGGAAUUACCUUCCCUCCAUCCUGUCUUAUUUCAAAGACUUUUCAUAGAGCAUAUUGCUUUUAUGUAGGGAGUUUAUCACUAAACUUAACUCUUGUAAUCUUAAUUACUUUACUAUUUCAUUUUUUAAAAGUUUUUUAAACACUAGAAUACAACCAAUAAUGACAAAGCCUUCCAGGAGUCUUAUGAAUGGAGUCAUCCCAGAUAUCUGACUUUCUUUAUGGCUCUUCUUUUUAACAUGAACAUUUGUAUUCACUUUGUCAUGCCAAAGAAAAUCUUUCUAUAAUAAGCAUCCUGCUCAUAGAAUAAUGAACACACAGUGUUUUCUUUAUGAUUUGAAGUUCUGACUAUCCUUUUCCAUUUCUUUCAAAACCAUUUAUUGAGUAGACAUUGAGGAAAGUUAACUACAUGGACUCUGUAUAGGACAGGAAUGUUGUCAUUUUCAUUCAUUUCUAAAUAAUUGGAAACUUCAGUAUAAGCAAUGAGUUAUUUAGAAGUGAAUUAAAAAA